AUUGAACGCUGGCAGCAGGCCUAACACAUGCAAGUCGCGCGAGCGGCGGACGGGUGAGUGAUGUCUGGGAAACUGCCUGAUAUAGGGGGAUAACUACUUGAGACGGUAGCUAAUACCGCAUACCAUCAGAUGUGCCCAGAUGGGCUUAGCUAGUAGGUGGGGUAGCGGGUCACCUAGGCGACGAUCCCUAGCUGGGCUGAGAGGAUUACCAGCCACACUGGAACUGAGACACGGUCCAGACUCCUACGGGAGGCAGCAGUGGGGAAUAUGGCACAAUGGGCGCAAGCCUGAUGCAGCCAUGCCGCGUGUAUGAAGAAGGCCUUAGGGUUGUAAAGCACUUUCAGCGGGGAGGCGUUACCCGCAGAAGAAGCACCGGCUAACUCCGUGCCAGCAGCCGCGGUAAUUC
rnacentral:rRNA from 1 species